rnacentral:rRNA from 1 species
UACGUAGGGGGCAAGCGUUGUCCGGAUUUACUGGGCGUAAAGGGCGUGCAGGCGGUUUGUUAAGUGCAGGGUGAAAGCUCCCGGCUCAACUGGGAGAGGUCCUUGCAUACUGGCAAACUCGAGGGAGGCAGAGGAAAGUGGAAUUCCCGGUGUAGUGGUGAUAUGCGUAGAUAUCGGGAGGAACACCAGUGGCGAAGGCGACUACCUGGCCUGUUUCUUGACGCUGAGGCGCGAAAGCUAGGGGAGCAAACGGG